rnacentral:rRNA from 1 species
CCCGCACAAGCGGUGGAGUAUGUGGCUCAAUUCGAUGCAACGCGAAGAACCUUACCUGGCCUUGACAUGCAGGAGACAGGUGCUGAAAGGCACCCUUCCUUCGGGACUGCUGCACAGGUGCUGCAUGGCUGUCGUCAGCUCGUGUCGUGAGAUGUUGCGUUAAGUCGCGCAACGAGCGCAACCCCUGUCCUUAGUUGCCAUCAUUAAGUUGGGCACUCUAGGGAGACAAACCCUCUUUGAGGGUGGGAAGGUGGGGAUGACGUCAAGUCAGGAUGGCCCUUACGGCCAGGGCUGCACACGUACUACAAUGCCCGGUACAGAGGGAAGCAAUACCGCGAGGUGGAGCAAAUCCUCAAAACCGGGCCCAGUUCAGAUUGUAGUCUGCAACUCGACUACAUGAAGUUGGAAUCGCUAGUAAUGGCGCAUCAGCUACGGCGCCGUGAAUACGUUCCCGGGCCUU